rnacentral:lncRNA from 1 species
GCACAGGGAGCCCCGAAACGGCCCGCCCACGGCGCUUUCAUUGGCGGGACCGCACAGGAACUGCCGCGCCAUUGGUUAGUGUUUAGGUCGCUAGGCGCUACCGCCACGCGAACCCCGCAUGGGAGAGGCGAAGCCGGUUCAAACCGGCGGCGCGAGCCAACCGCGCGACCCCCGUGUCGGGCUGUUACCCCGGCGAUUAGCCCGUUUCCAUAGAAGCGGAUCCCGUCCCUCUGUCCUCCUGGCCUUUUUCGUUACGUCUCCCUCCCGGUGUCGUCCCUCUGACAAGUAUGCACCUUCCCUCCAACCCCUGCCUGCGAGCGGCUUCAGGUUCUCGCACCCUCGUCUGAGACCCGGAUCCUGGGAGUCCAGCUCACCCGGCUCCUACCAGUGUGUAUCGGGCCCGCCCGGCGCCUUUUCUGUCCCCUUUAUUUCCAGCCCUUUUAUUCCUAUCCUAAGAUGAAAAACACUGCCGCCCGUUGAUUGGCUGAGUGGGGCUGGAAACAGGCGUCGGCCAAUCAGCAGCUACCCACCCGCCCCCCGGCGAGCAGAAGCCGGUUCCGGCCGGACUUGGAGACAAACAAGAGGAAUGGGGGGGCUGGGGGGCGGCUCGGGCAGGCCCAGCUCUACCCAGUUAAACUGGAGUGCCCCUCGACCCGGUGACCGCCGCGGGCAUCGCCCCACGCCCUUCUCGUUGCCCUCUUCCUUGUCAAGUUCAUGGGUCAGCGUUUCAGGGAGUCUUGGUCCACAGCGAGCUGGGCUCCAAGCACCGUGCGGUUCGGCCCGCAGUAUAGACCACCGUUCUCGCCCGGAGAGAACCAGGGCCGGAUGCUCCAACUCCGCAGGCCAUUACCGCCCUUUUGUGCUGUUUCCCGGCCUGCUCCUUGGGCUUUGUGUCCGGGCUCCUCGCUGCCUAGCCCCCGUUGUCCUAUCCAGGCGCUGUCUACGGGUAUCAGAACACCCCGACCCAGGUCGUGGCAUAAUUACCGCAUCCCUGCUAGAUCUCCCGACUCACCGGGUCCUUGCCUGGAAUCAGCGGAGCUGCGCUGCUCUGAGGACCUGCUUGGACGUGGAAUGGAGCCUCAGCACGAAAGAUUUGGCUGUCCGUCCGAGUCUCCCUGACGAGAGGCACUAACCUCCCCUCAGAAAACACUCGGUAUCCCUCAGAUUCUCCACACUUCAAGAGCCGGCUUGCUUUAGAGCUAAGGGUGUCCCCAGCAGCCUGACUCAGCUUCCCUCAGCUCGAGUGCGCCCCCUGGUGCCCAGAACCUUCGCCAGCCAUUCUGCUAGUGCAUGCUCUCCCAGACUUGGUCUAGGCUUGCUGGUGGGUUUGGGGGCCUGAUGACCUACUGUGCAGAAAUCUCAUAAGCUCCAAAUUGGACCUACUAUCUGCCAAUAGAUUAAGCCCUUCAAUCCUUUUCCUAAGCAAUCUGCUUGAGGACCUUCUCCAGACAUAUAUCUAAAAUGUUCCCUCCCCCUCUUCAAAUAAAUAGUGCCCCCUUCUCCCUCAGAUUGUGUGUGUCUGUGUGUGUGUCUGGGGAAGUGUUGAGACAGGAUCUCACUAUGUAGCUCU